UACAGAGGGGGCAAGCGUUAUUCGGAAUUAUUGGGCUUAAAGCAUCCGUAGCCGGUUCUCCAAGUCUUCCGUUAAAUCCAACUGCUUAACAGGUGGGCUGCGGAAGAUACUAUAGAGCUAGGAGGCGGGAGAGGCAAGCGGUACUCGAUGGGUAGGGGUAAAAUCCGUUGAUCCAUUGAAGACCACCAGUGGCGAAGGCGGCUUGCCAGAACGCGCUCGACGGUGAGGGAUGAAAGCUGGGGGAGCAAACCGG
rnacentral:rRNA from 1 species